AUAGCGUAUAUUAAAGUUGUUGCAGUUAAAAAGCUCGUAGUUGAACUUCGAACCUGGUUGAGUGGUCUGCCUUCACGGUACGUACUGCUUGGCUGGGCUCUACCUCUUGGUGAGCCGGCAUGCCCUUUACUGGGUGUGUCGGGGAACCAGGACUUUUACCUUGAGAAAAUUAGAGUGUUCAAAGCAGGCCUUUGCCCGAAUACAUUAGCAUGGCAUAAUAAAAUAGGACGUGCGGUUCUAUUUUGUUGGUUUCUAGAGUCGCCGUAAUGAUUAAUAGGGAUAGUUGGGGGCAUUUGUAUUCCGUUGCUAGAGGUGAAAUUCUUGGAUUUACGGAAGACAAACUUCUG
rnacentral:rRNA from 1 species